rnacentral:rRNA from 1 species
UAGCUUGCUACUCUGCUGACGAGCGGCGGACGGGUGAGUAAUGCUUGGGAAUAUGCCUUAUGGUGGGGGACAACAGUUGGAAACGACUGCUAAUACCGCAUGAUGUCUACGGACCAAAGUGGGGGACCUUCGGGCCUCACGCCAUAAGAUUAGCCCAAGUGGGAUUAGCUAGUUGGUGAGGUAAUGGCUCACCAAGGCGACGAUCCCUAGCUGGUUUGAGAGGAUGAUCAGCCACACUGGGACUGAGACACGGCCCAGACUCCUACGGGAGGCAGCAGUGGGGAAUAUUGCACAAUGGGCGCAAGCCUGAUGCAGCCAUGCCGCGUGUGUGAAGAAGGCCUUCGGGUUGUAAAGCACUUUCAGUAAGGAGGAAAGGUUAAGUGUUAAUAGCACUUAGCUGUGACGUUACUUACAGAAGAAGCACCGGCUAACUCCGUGCCAGCAGCCGCGGUAAUACGGAGGGUGCGAGCGUUAAUCGGAAUUACUGGGCGUAAAGCGUACGCAGGCGGUUUGUUAAGCGAGAUGUGAAAGCCCCGGGCUCAACCUGGGAACUGCAUUUCGAACUGGCAAACUAGAGUGUGAUAGAGGGUGGUAGAAUUUCAGGUGUAGCGGUGAAAUGCGUAGAGAUCUGAAGGAAUACCGAUGGCGAAUGCAGCCACCUGGGUCAACACUGACGCUCAUGUACGAAAGCGUGGGGGAGCA